rnacentral:rRNA from 1 species
UACGUAGGGGUCGAGCGUUGUCCGGAGUUACUGGGCGUAAAGCGCGCGCAGGUGGCUCAUUACGCCCGGCGUGAAAGCCCCCGGCUCAACCGGGGAAGGUCGUCGGGUACGGGUGAGCUUGAGGGUAUCAGGGGCUGGUGGAAUUCCCGGUGUAGUGGUGAAAUGCGUAGAGAUCGGGAGGAACACCCGUGGCGAAGGCGGCCAGCUGGGAUACACCUGACACUGAGGCGCGAAGGCGUGGGGAGCGAACGGGG